rnacentral:rRNA from 1 species
CGGGUGAGUGACGCGUGGGUAACCUACCCUGUACACACGGAUAACAUACCGAAAGGUAUGCUAAUACAGGAUAAUAUAUUUGAGAGGCAUCUCUUGAAUAUCAAAGGUGAGCCAGUACAGGAUGGACCCGCGUCUGAUUAGCUAGUUGGUAAGGUAACGGCUUACCAAGGCGACGAUCAGUAGCCGACCUGAGAGGGUGAUCGGCCACAUUGGAACUGAGACACGGUCCAA